GUGGGGAAUUUUGGACAAUGGGGGCAACCCUGAUCCAGCCAUGCCGCGUGAGUGAAGAAGGCCUUCGGGUUGUAAAGCUCUUUCGGCGGGAACGAAAAGGCCAUCUCUAAUACGGGUGGUCGAUGACGGUACUCGCAGAAGAAGCACCGGCUAACUACGUGCCAGCAGCCGCGGUAAUACGUAGGGUGCGAGCGUUAAUCGGAAUUACUGGGCGUAAAGCGUGCGCAGGCGGCUUUUUAAGCCAGACGUGAAAUCCCCGGGCUCAACCUGGGAAUGGCGUUUGGGACUGGAAGGCUUGAGUGCGGCAGAGGGAGGUGGAAUUCCUGGUGUAGCAGUGAAAUGCGUAGAUAUCAGGAGGAACACCGAUGGCGAAGGCAGCCUCCUGGGCCAGCACUGACGCUCAAGCACGAAAGCGUGGGGAGCAAACAGGAUUAGAUACCCGUGUAGUCC
rnacentral:rRNA from 1 species